GUUUUCAGAGUAACUUUUAUUUGUUGAUCGUCGGGGCAAUUAUUUUAAAACACUUAAUUUUGACUAUAAUGCCCUUUUUUGUUUUUUCUCACCCUCUACCCCCACCCCCACACUCCCCACUCUCCAUUUCAUCAUCUCCUUUUUUUUUCUUCACUCUCAAAAGCUUGAACACUUACUUUCUGCAAAGCUUAGCUUUUGGAUUUCUCAUUCUCUACAUAUGGAGGACAAAAAAAUGAGUUCUCGAAUCGGGUCACACCAGCUGAGAAACGGGUUAUUCGUCUCGGGCCGACCCGAACAGCAAAAGGAACGACCCACAGCUAUAUCUCGCGCUGUUCCGUACACCGGCGGCGACGUCAAGAAGUCCGGCGAGCUUGGGAAAAUGUACGGCAUCGACAUGUCGACUGGGGACCACCAUACGGGCCCACCAAUUCUGAAAAAACCAUCUUCGAGGGCUUCAUCAUCUUCUCAGCAUAACAGUGGAUCCGUAAGAUCCGGGCCGAAUUCGGGUCAAAUGGGUGGUCACAAAUCCUCCAAUUCCGGCCCGAUUCCCAAGAAGUCCUCUUCCGGUUCCGGUCCAAUUCAGCCAACGGGUCUCAUUUACUCCGGUCCGUUGAGUUCCAGUGCCGGUAGGAGGUCCGGUCAGCUUGAGCCGACAAUUUCGUUCAAAAAAAUAGUCUAUGGCUCCUCUGUUACUAGCUUGAGUGGUGAUAUAAAGAUGGGUUUCAAUGUUUCAAGAGUGGCAAUGUGGGUGCUAUUCGUGGUGAUAUUGAUGGCUUUAAUGGCGGGUGCUUUCGUGAUGGCAACCGUGAAAAAAAUCGUGAUUUUGGUGGCUGUUGGUGCAGCUGUAGCUCCAAUUUUGAUGAUCUUGCUGUGGAAUUACGCGUAUAAAGAGCGAGGCUUGGUGGAGUUUCUAAGAAGAUAUCCUGAUGCUGAGCUUAGAGGUGCUGUUAAUGGACAGUUUGUGAAGGUUACUGGGGUAAUUUCAAACUCAUAUGUCAAAAUUCAAUCAUAUCAUUUUAUUUCUUAUUUGUAUUUGAUAUUUGCUAAAUUUGGUUUGGUGAUGUUGAAAUGUGUAAAAAUGUUUUAUUAAAUGUAGUAAUGAUUUUGUCAUUAGGUGGUAGUUAUGGUUGAUUAGUAGGAUAGAUGUUUUGGAUGAUAGUAUUAAGAUUGUCAUUUACCAUAUUGUCCUUGGAGGUGAUGAUGACCAUGUGUUGUCCUUGCUAAGCUUUGAUUUGAGUAGGAGAAAAAUUUUCCAUAUUGAUUUUGCCUUAAGUCACCUAAAUUAUGCUUAAGGAAGUGUUAAAGCAAAUAGCUUUAUCGGUGUCUUAAGAUUGUCAAUUACAAUAUUGUCCUUGUGGGGGAUCUCUUUGCUAAGCUUUGAUUUGAGUUGGAAAAGAAUUUUCUUGAUUUUGCCUGAAGUCACCUAAAUUAUGCUCAAGGAAGGUGAAAACACAUAGCUUUAUCCGGUGUCUUAAGAUUGUCAAUUACCAUAUUGUCCUUGGAGGUAACGAUGACCAUGUGUUGUGGAAUCACUUUGAUUGUUCUUGUCGGAUCUUUGAUAAGCUUUGAUUUGAGUUGUGAGGUAGAAUUUUCCGUAUUGAUUUUACGUGAAGUCACCUAAAUUAUGCUUAAGGAAGGGUUAAAGCACAUAGCUUUAUCUGGUGUAUUAGUCUUGCAAAGCGUUGGCUGCAGAGUACUGAUCUGAAGUUACUCAAUUCUUAUUGCGGAUGAGUUGUUUAGAAAGUGGGUAGAUAGGAGUUAGGACAGCAUGAUGUGGUAGAAAGGGGGAAUAAAUCGCUAAGUGUACUUAUCCACGAGUUAGAAGGUGAGAAGAGGGACGGAAAGGAAAGAAGAUAGUUAAGGAAAAAAUGAUAUGAUAAGUGGAUAUGUACUGGCUGCUGAUAUAUAUACUUUUUAUGCAGUUUUAAUAGACUGUUAGUUAUCUAUAAAGACGAUAUUUGAAGAUAUAUGAUGAACAAGAAUAAGAGGGUUAGAACUACCUUUCUGAUAUCUUGUGUUCUUUCGUUACUUAUUCAACAGAGAAAUACUUCUUAUCUUCUUAUAAGUUUAUUUGUGCUGCCCUUUCUUUUCUUCUGAUACAAGAAAAUAAGUACUGUUUUUUCAUGGCCGUCCUUUAAUUGUAUGCAGCGUUCAGGUUCUAAUUAUCUCUUUGUUUCCUUUAUCCAAAAUGUAUUUGUUGUUUUUCUUUAGUCCUUCAUUGGGAUUCCUAUCCUACCUAAAACAGGGAGAACUUAUGCUUCUUUCUUGCUUGCUUAUAACCCUUCUAACCCCUCUAGCCAUAAACGACAUCAAGUUCUGCUUUCACAAUAACUUGAUAAAAUGAAUAAAUAGGUCUUAUUAUUGUAUUUCUAUAACCCCCUCAUGUAGUGGUUUUCCGAAAUGCACAUUUGCCAAAUAUGAUCCACCCUUUCCGGAAAAAGGAAAAGAAAAAAAUAACUCUCCAAAACAGCCCAAAAAUUGGAGAACUACUUUUCUUUAUAUGAACAGAGUAAAAAAAAAGGUGUCAAAGUUAGCUUUUAAUGUGGUGAUCCAAUUAUUGUAUAGCAUGUGUGUAUAUUAUGGUAUUUGAGUAAAAUCUAGAUAAAUAUGUGUCCCCAAACUUUUCCUAUUUCUACGGUAUUAAAUUCUUGCUGCAUUAAGUGAAGCCGUUUUCUUGGACUUCAUCUUUGAGUUGCUAUGGGAACCAUACCCCUCAUGAAUUGCAAAUAAUGUUGGAAAGGGAAGCUUCGUUAUAAGUGUUAUUUAAGGACUUGCUGUAUUCAGCUGGACACACUAAGUACUCUCCCUGUGCUUCUUGUUGUUCCGAGCCUCCAAAUAUGGCUCUCUGUCCUUGUUAAUUUGCUCAAAAUUUCAGUUUGGAUUGUCAUACAUAAUUCACUUUUCUAAUAGACACCGCAGAUAUUGAACCUAGGGAAUCAGAAACCUACGAUUGUGAUCUUCUAAUAUCCAUGUUUCUACUCCAGAAGAUGUAAAUGAAUCUUAUGUUUAAGUCAUGUUUAAUCUUCUUAAUCAUUAAGUAUAAAAUAAUCACGUUUUGAUGUUUGGAGUGUGAUAGAGUUGACGACACCUGCUAGAAUUUUAUUCUUUCUUUGGAAUUUAGAUGGAAAUUUAUUAAUUCUUCUGAACUUUUAGCGGUGAGAACUUUUAGACCGUGUCAAGCCUUGGUGUCUUGUAAAGGUGGAAAAGAUCGGACUGUAGUUUGUUACUUUGUUUUAUUUUGUAAUGUUCCUUUUAAAGUGUCAAUUUAGUUUUUGCAUGAAUGCACAUAGAAACUAUAUAUCUUGUUUUGGUUAUGGUGUAGGAUGUAACAAGUACACGAAAACAGUUCUAAAAACAUUAGAAUCCGUACAAGAUUAGACGGGGAACACUUUUGUUGUUUGUUCUUUUGCUUCUUCAUACAGCCGUAAUAGUACAUCCUUCGGUGCUAUUCUAAUGUAUAUAAUUACUUUAGCUUCUCAAAAUUUUUAAAAAAAAAAUGAAUGCACACAUAAAGUUUACCAUUAUGCUACCUUAUCAAAAGUUUACCAUGAUACUACCAAUGAAUUACUUGUAACACAUAAAGAUCUUGCAUUCCAAAUCCUGCACACUUUCAAGGAUGUUAUUUAGGGAGUAAUAUAAUUUCUCUUCUUUUUGUAGGUUGUCACCUGCGGCAGCAUUCCUCUUGAAACUUCUUUUCAGCGGGUACCAAGAUGUGUAUAUGCUUCUACAGAAUUGCACGAAUACAAAGCUUGCGUUGGAAAUUGUGCAAAUCCUAGACAGCGUAGCUUUUCAUGGGGACGCAGGCAUUCGGAGGUUGGUUUGUAUAUCAACUAUUUGAGUAUUUCUUGAUUUGAUCCCAGUACUCAGUGCCAAUUGGUAUCAGCCGAAUGUUAUUUUAAGUGCAAUAGUUAUUAUUAUAUAACAGUGGCAUAGAUAUAGUUAUGUUGAUACUUAUACUAUUUCAUCCUCGUUAGAAGUUGAAUACAAAUGCUUCGGGGAGGUCAUCCGGUACCUAUGCUGGUGGGAGGUAGCAGGUACCUGAUGGAAUAGUCAGGGUUCCAUAAGCUGUGGUGUCAUUGAAAUAUUACAUGGGAACUAUAAAAAAGUUAUACCCCCUCUGAUUCAACUUGUUUGUUUGAUUUUGACUUAGCACGAAGUUUAAGAAAGUAAAAAAAACUUUUGAAUCUUGUGGUCUUAAACUAAAGAUAUAGAAUGUACCAAAAUGCCCUUUAAUCUUGAGAUCUUAAACAUGCCAUGUGGGAAGUUAGAAUUAAAGAGUUGGAAAAAAGGAAAUGGCGAUUUUAAUUUAAAAUGGACGAUAAAUGAAAGUAAGACAAACAAAUUGAAACGGAAGGAAUAUGCAGUUCAAGCUGAAGUUUUGGAAUUCAAGUCACAUAAGGCGAUGGACUAUCUAUCUUCAAGCCUGAGCAAACAAACUUCAGUGCAAGUUCAUAGAGUCAAAAAGAUUUGUAACCAACAUCAUUUACCAACUUCGAGGGUUACGUUUUCAGAAAUUUCUAGACUUCUACUGGUCAGAUUUUGCUAAAACCAAUAGUCCUGUUACUCUUUCUGAUACGUAACUUUCUGAUAUACAAAAUUUUGUACUGUCAACUCCUAAGAGGUCAUAACGAGUGGUGACAAUUGAUCCUUUGCCUCUUCCCCUCAUCCCAGGAUUAUGUGGUCAUGAUUCCAAAUGUUAUGUCUAAUGAAGUCACCAAGUUCAAAAAAAAUGUUAUGUCUAUUGUCUAAUGAGAAACUGACAUAUGUUUCUUGGUAACAGAACUAUGUUGGUGAUUUCUAUAUAUCAGACUUCCAGACUGGAUUAAGAGCGCUGGUUAAGGCAGGCUAUGGAGCAAAGGUGGCACCAUUUGUAAAAUCAAAAACAGUUGUUGAUGUAACAAGUGACAGUGAGUUGUCUCCUAAUUUCAUAAGAUGGCUUGCUGAUCGAAACCUCUCAAGUGAUGACCGUGUAAUGCGACUGAAAGAAGGGUAAGUUGAGUUUAUUCAGCGAACCUCAUGUAUUUAUUCCAACUUAUGAAAGCUUCCCCAGACUAAGGUUCUUGCUGAUUGCUUAAAAAAUUACAGUUACAUCAAAGAAGGGAGCACCGUAAGUGUCAUGGGCGUUGUAAUGCUCCAAGAGAACGUGCUAAUGAUUGUUCCACCACCUGAGCCUAUUUCAAUAGGCUGUCAAUGGCUCCGUUGUCUUCUUCCAACCUACGUAGAAGGUCUCAUCUUGACCUGUGACGAUAUUCAGGACGGUGAUGUUAUUCCUGUAUAGUAUAUACUACCAAUUUUGAUUAUUCCCACGAGUUUAUGCCAUAAGAGUACACAACCGAUGGCAGCACUAGGCUAGCGAAGGUGUGCCUUUUUUUCGUUCCUAUGCAAAUAUUCAACUGUAUGUAAGAUUGCAUAGCAGAACAGAAACAGGCAAAACUGUGUUUUUCUAGAAGUCUGAAGUUGGUUAUUCCUAUGUAUUUAAUGGUGUUUUUAGCAGAGUUCCUAAAGGGAAGAGGAGAUAAAAGGGUCUUCCUCCUUUGAGCAACUAAGCUUGUUGUGUAUGAUGCUAGAUUUCAUAUCUAGUUUGUUUUUUGCUGCAUUAUGAUAUGUUUAUAUAUGUAAAUGUUCAUAGCUUGCUUUAGCUUUUUGUUUUAUUUUAUCGCGGGUAUAACUAUUUGGUAUUUGGAAUUCACUUAGUUCUGAAAUUUGCACGUUUAAGGUUCGUUAAAGGAGGAAGCGCUCUUUAUCAGAAUAUAUUAGAUUGUAUUGCCAAAUUUGUUAAUAUCAUCUAAUGAUGAAAAGUGCAGCUUCGGGUAACAAUAGAUUUGGUGUAAUCACGCCAUUACCUUAUCUUUUUUCCGUUGCUUGUACUUUUUAUAUGACAAGGGAACCCACAAUGGCUAUCCUUUAGGUAUGCACAAGAUAAAUUCUAUUGUACUGUAAUAGUCCAUAAACCAUACAUGAGAGGUAAAUCGUAUCAGGCAUGCACAAUCGAAAAAGCAUGCAUGCGGUUUCGAACCUCAGAGCCCCAGUACUUAUUAUUUAAUAAUUCUAUUUUACUCUGCAUGCUUACCUUUUUUUCUAGUAGUACCUCUACCAUACGCCUUACAUUUUCUCUGUAAUAUUAUAAGCUUAUUCUUCCUAAUGUUGGUGUAAUAACACAAUGAAACAACGGAAAACGAUAUAAUCAUCCAAAGUUUCAAAUAUUCAAUUCAUCAAUAUAAUAUAAUACAAUAAUAUAUAUUAUGAAACGAUACUAUAGAAUAAAAAAACACUAACAAACUUUCUAUAUAGUUCUGACAAUUCUUAGAAGCCGCGCGAAAUGGCUGUUGUACGGAAUAACAGAAUCAAGAUUCCCUUCACUCCCCUGUGAACUUUUCACCUUAUUUCUUUAAACUAAAAAGAAAAAAAUUCAGUUUUUUUCCAUACAAUAUUUCAAGAUUCAUUAAAGGGGUUGCAGAUAAUAGAAAAAUUUGUAAUGGGUAAUCGAAAUAUGGAUGAUUUCUUGAUUCUAUAUAUUUUUGGAAUUGCAUUUAUGGGUAUGUUUUUAAGAUGUUUUGGGAGUGUUGGAGUAAACUGGGGUACAAUGGCAACUCACCAAUUACCCCCAAAUAGUGUUGUGAAGAUGUUGAUAGAAAAUGGUUUUGAUAAAGUGAAACUGUUUGAAGCAGAUGAAGUGAUUUUGAAUGCUUUAAUUGGUACUGAAAUUGAAGUAAUGCUUGCAAUUCCUAAUUAUAUGUUGGAGGAUUUGAGUUCUAAUUCUAUAAUUGCUGAUUCUUGGGUUGAAGCUAAUGUCUCUGCAUAUGCUUAUCCUCAUGGAGUCAAAAUCAGGUUCAUUUUUAAACCAGUUCUUAGUAUUCCUUUGCUUUACUUGCGUCGAGAGUCUAUCAGAAACAACAUUUCUACCUUCGGAAAUGUGUACUCGUGUACAUACAACGUUCCCUAGAUCCCACUUGUGGAUUAUACUGGAUAUGUUGUUGUUGUAGUAGUUAGUAAUUCUCCUAGUUUAUUCAAAGUUUUUUGUUGUUGAGUUGAGCUUAAGGGUGUGUUUGCUAUGAAGGAAAAUGUUUCUCGAAAAAUAAGUAGUUUUCUUACUUAUUUUCAGGUUUUUGCUAAGUAUGCAGAAAAUAUUGUUCGGAAAGCAUUUGUAUAUAAUGUAAGCGAACUGUAUGGGGUUGGGAGAUGGGGUUGGAAGCUAUGGGGGUGAAAUGUUUUGGAGGGUGCGGAGGAGACAAUCAAUGUAAAAUGCUUCUUAUGAAACCCGAAUUCCUUAUUUCCACUGAACUUGUUUUCCUAGAGAAAAUUUUCAGGUUUUUUUUAACGAAACACACCCUAUAUGCAAAAACACAUUACUUAGGAUUCAUAUAGCCGAUCCCAACUUAUUUGAGACUGAGGCGUAAUGGUAGGAUAUAGGAAGAUCAAGAAAGGGAAGGGGAACAUGGACUUAGAGGAAUUGAAUCCAUUUGUGUUGUGUUUGCAACUUCAGUAGAGUUUUGUUUGAAUUUCUACAUAGCAUUUCUCAAAUGAAUGUAGGUAUGUAGCAGUGGGAAAUGAGCCAUUUCUCCGAACAUACAACGGGACGUACCUGCAGUACAUAUUACCAGCACUGAAAAAUGUUCAAGAAGCCAUCAACAAAGCUGGAUUAGGGGCAAAGGUGAAAGCAACUAUCCCUUUCAAUGCAGACAUUUACUUCUCCCCUGAGUCAAAUCAGGUACCCUCAGCUGGUGAUUUCAGGCCAGAAGUGCGCGAUUUAACCCUCCAGAUUGUCCAAUAUCUGUAUUUGAAUGAUGCCCCUUUCGUCGUUAACAUCUAUCCUUUCCUAAGUCUAUAUGGGAACAUCUACUUCCCAUUAGACUUUGCCUUCUUUGAUGGCUCAAACAAGCCUGUCAGAGAUGGAGAUUAUGUUUACACGAACGUGUUUGAUGCCAAUUUCGAUACACUUGUAUGGUCGUUGAAGAAAGCUGGUUUCACUGACAUGAAAAUCGUAGUAGGAGAAGUAGGUUGGCCAACAGAUGGAGAUAAGAAUGCUAAUAACGAAAACGCUAUGAGAUUUAACCAAGGAUUGAUCAAACAUUGUUUGAGUGAACAAGGAACUCCUGCAAGAAAGGGCAAGAAGAUAGAGGUUUAUUUAUUCAGCCUUAUUGAUGAGAAUGCUAAAAGCAUUGCUCCAGGUAACUUUGAGAGGCAUUGGGGAAUGUUUGAAUUCGAUGGAAAGCCUAAAUACGAGCUAGAUUUAUCCGGGAGGAUGCAGAAGGACAAAGGGUUAGUUGCAGUAGAAGGUGUAAACUAUAUGCACAAAAGGUGGUGUAUACUUAAACCAGAAAACGCGGUAACAGAUGUAGAUAAUGCAGAAGACUUACCAAAAAACAUAGAUUACGCGUGCAGUCUUUCAGAUUGCACGGCUUUGGGAUAUGGCUCGUCCUGUAACCAUCUUAGCACGGAAGGGAAUGCGUCCUAUGCUUUUAACAUGUACUAUCAGCUCAAGAAUCAGAACAGUUGGGACUGUGAUUUUGAUGGCCUGGCUGUGGUGACUGAUGAGGAUCCAUCGGACGACAAAUGCCGAUUUCCGCUGAUGAUUGCUGUUGGUCACUCCCUGGAUAUGCUGUUGCCCAAGAAGCUGUUGUAUGUCUUACUUGUUGCUAUUCUCCUCUUGAUGGAUGAUUAGUGAAUCUUGUUCCUUGUUUUUUCUCCUAGAGACAAGUCACUUUGAGAAAAUACAUCAGUAAAAUUCAGUAUGUUAAAAGUAAGUCUCAUUCUAGAUAUUGAUAACUAUCCAUUGCUCAGACUAUAUUUUGGUGAUAUAGCUUUUGAACAAUUUCUUUGCAAAACCUUUACAGAAUCGUACGUACAGUCUCACAAAUUUUAGAGUCAACUUUACGCAUUUAGGGGCCAAUUUAUAGAUAUUAGACAAUUUUCUUAGUUUUUCGUGUGUUAGCCCAUGAAUAUUUUUAUGAUAUGGCUUCCGAAUGAUCUUUGUGAAACCUUUACAGAACCCUCCGUAGGGAAUUGGGGGAGUAUUACGUACCGUCUCACAAUUUUUACAGUCCAUUUUGGACAUUUAGGAGCCAAUGUACAAGAAUUAGGUGAUUUUCUCAGUUUUUCAUGUAUUACGUAAUGCUCCACCAAAUCAUUUACGUAAUCCUCGUAAAACCGAAAAUAUACAAAAAUGGCGGGACAGUACGUAAUGCUUCCCCAACUCAUUACGGAGGUCCUUAUAAAGUCUUUUUAUAAAAAAAAAUUGGGUGCUCCGAGACGCCAAAUCCAUGGGCUAAUACACACGAAAAACUAAGAAAGUCGGGUAAUUCCUAAAAGUUGGAUCGUAAAUGAGAAAAUAUGCGUGAAAAAAAUGGUGGGACUAUACGUAAUGCUCUCCAACUCAUUACAAAGGUACCCAAAAAUGAGCGCUACAAGCCAUAAAAUCAAUGGGCUAAUACAUUUGAAAACCAAGAAAGUAGUGUAGUUCCUAAAAGUUGGCCCCUAAAUGCAAAACUAUGCCUUAAAAAAAUGGCGAGACUAUACGUACUGCUCUCUCAACUCAUUACGAUGGUCCUCAUAAAAAAAUUUCAGAAAAACCUUACCAGCGCCACAAUGCGCCAAAUCCAUGGACUAGCCUAUGAAUAUUUUGUGAUCGGACAAUUUCUUUGCAUAACUUUUACAGAAUCUUCUGUAGGGAGUUGGAGGAACAGUACAUACUUUCUCACAAUUUUUAGAGUUCAUUUUGGACAUUUAGGGGCCAAUUUACAGGAAUUAGGCGUUUUUUCCUUAAUUUUUCGUGUGUUAACCGAUGAAUAUUUUGGUGAUAUGAUUUUCGAAUGAUCUAUUUGUGGAACUUUUACGGAACCCACCAUAGGGAGUUGGGGAAGUAGUAUGUACAGUCUCACAAUUUUUAGAGUCCAUAAUAAAAAUUCUGUAAGAAGACAAUAACAACAACGCCAUACCCAGUGUAAUCCAACAAAAGUGGAGUCUGGAGAUGAUAAAGUGAACGCAGACUUUAUCACUACCUUGGAGUAGAGAGGUUGUUCCCGAUAGAUCCUCAACUCAAAGAAAAUACAGACCAAAGCAAUAAAGAGAAAGAAAUACGAAAAUGGAGAAAGUCCUGGUAAAAUACUAUAGAUAACCUAUAAAUCAUCCUAAACGAUAGUCAUAAUAAGAAUAAAAAAUAGAAGCGUAAAAAGCCCAUAGACAAUAACCAAAGUCAAAGGACAGGAAACUAUAAGAGUAAUAUCACGACUAAUAUUAUAGACAAAUAAGAGAGACAAUGCUCCGGUCACAUUGUACCCUUUGUAUUUUAGGUGUGUACUUUUAAACACUAACAUCUGAAAAAAGUUUCUUACAUCAUAGUAAUGUCGUCUUAUGGCGAAGCGAUAAGAGAUUAAAAAAGACGGGAGGAACUACAACGAAAAUGCUACAGUCUAGACUGCAUUCCACCGGCAACUACAAGAGUUUCUCCGGUUACAUAAGCUGCAUCGUCUGAAGCAAGAUAGGCAGUAGCUGCAGCCAUGUCUUGUGUUGUUCCGAGCCUACUGAGUAAUGUCUUAGCCUCAAGUUCUCUCCUCUAUAAAACAAUAAGCGUCCACUUAAUAAACUAUGAACUCGCGAUCAGAUAUUUUAACAAACGAGAGAUAAGACAUCUAACAGUAAUGCGAACUUACCAAAUUAGCAUCCCCUGUGAUGAACUUAGCGAAAUGUGUGGGUACAAAACCUGGUGCAACACAGUUCACACGAGUACUCGGAGCCAUUUCAGCUGCGAGAGCCUGAAAUGGCACAAAAAAUUUAGAAGGAAACUAAAAAGAAUUCAAGAAUUUUCACUGUAUGGAUUUUUCUGAGGCCACUCUUUAAAUUUUGUCCCCAUUAGCGUAGUGGACUAAAUUUCGCCUUUCAAAGUAGUUGGAUGAGUUUUUGUUUUUAGGCUAACGGGGACAGAAAUUUUAAAUAGUUCCCUGGAAAAAAGCCAUUUGUGUUGUAACUUAAUAAGCUAAUAAUGCCACGAUAAGUACCUUGGUCAGUCCAAGAAGAGCUGUUUUUGUUACGCCAUACAUUCCCAUGGAAGCAGGUGGUCUAUAAGCAGCAAUAGAUGAAAUUAUAACCACCGAGGAACCAUUCUGAAGGUAAGGAGCUGCAUCCUAUAAGUGUUUCAAAGAGUAAAUAUUAUGCACAGCGCCAAGAACAAUUAAAAGUAAUAUUGGGACAACGGAAUGUAGAAUAAAUCAAAACAUAUGAUAGAAAGAAAAUCUUAGCAUCCUCUAAUUUCCUCAAUAUUUCUACAGGCAUACAUGAAUAUCAAACAUUUUUCUCUUAAGAAUUUAUUCAUAUCAAUGACUUACUUGAAGUAAUAAGAUAGCGGCUUUCACGUUGAUGUCCCAUAGCUUGUCAAGGGUUUGUUCUUUAGUUUCUAAUAUUGUAGCCACGGUAGGAUUUACAGCAGCAUUUGACACAAUGACAUCUAAUUUCCCGUAUUUCUGGAAAAUGACAACUUCCAAUUAGUGAAAUUGGAAUAUAACUUCUGCAGAGCAACUGUAUUAUCAUACAAGUCAGGUUCAAAUGUGAUUAAUAUUGACCGAUCCACAAAUGUCUUUGAGGGUUCACCGUGCUUUUUAAGUACUAUAGCGUCCCGUACACUCUUUUUAUUGAAAAUUUAGUAGGUGCUUCAUCAAUAAUUAAGAAGAUUAAAAUGAGUGAAAACAAAUUUAUCAUAUUUUCUGGAAAUUCACUAGUCAUGGUUUUUGUUUUCAGAAUUUCUAGGGUCUGAAAAUGCCUAUUAAGACACUGACGCUGGCUUAUCGAAUAUGAUUCCUCAAAUGGUCCAUUUCUAGACAACAACGAGAGAAGCCAUUUUUAAGAGAGUGAACAACAACCACUCUAAUAUGAUGAAACAGUUAGACUCGCGUGAGAAACUCAUGAGCGAAGAGCAAUGAAAAAGCAUCUCCGGGUAUUC
rnacentral:lncRNA from 1 species